CAUCCCUUCCACAACUUUCCUCUCCUUUCUCUCCAUUUUGGAUGCUACAGAACUCUACACAAGAUGACCAAUCAUUCUCCAAAUUUCUUACGAGGUGAAUCUUCUAUCGGAUGCACAUGAUACUCCGAGAGGAUUCCUAGUGACUAGUGGCAACUUGACGAACCCUGUGAAGACGAAAAGAAGUCCCAAAAUCUUUAGUAGACCAGAAGAACAUCACACACUCAAUAGCGUUCAUUUCUUCUCUCUAUUCUUCUUCUCUCCUUGCCCUAUCUCUUUGACUCUCACAUGGAAUCUUCAUCGUGUUCUUUCUCUAGCGAAAUAGUCAAGAAGGUGGUGAUCUACAUUUCUCUCUCUCGCACUCAAAAUUUUGCCAUUUCCUUAUUUGAACUUCUCUUUUGUUCUUCCAAUUCCCAAUCUCUCGUCUUUUUUUUCUUGCUUACGAGGUAAUUUUCUUCAACUUUAUAAUGGUUCCUCAAGUUUAUGUGUGGUUUGAGCAUAAUUUUGAAAUGGGGUUUUCUUCUUUUGAGUAUUUUGAAUUAAAUUGUUUUGUUAGUAAGCAUUUAGACUUAUGAGUAUUUUUGUAUUAGGAUAAUCUUUCAAAAUUAUUCAUUUUUGUUCUUUCUUUUUUCUUUUGUUGUUUUACCGAUAACCAAAUAGAGGUUGUUUUUAUUAUGUCCUUUUACUUGUAGGGUGUUGUAUUUUUUUGUUCUCUUUCCAUUUGAUCUACUUGACUUUUGUUUGCUCUUCUAGUUUGAGUAUGGUUUGAUGGCUAAAGAUUUGGAUAAUUUUUUCACCGAUCUAAACUAAUAUGCCUUCUUUUGGGUUUUAGAUUUUUUUGGUUUCUUUCUUAUCCCGGUUUUCCCCCUUCUGCAACCCCUUGAAAUUUCCUUUUAUUGAUUGCAACUUCUGAUUGUGUUAUUGAACAUCUUUUUGCAAAUUAUUAUUUAUGUAGGAAAUUUGGAGGUCUUAAGACAUGUUAGAUUAUGAUGUGCAAUAAUGGUUGCCAUAUGGAAUUUGCAAGUCCUAACUUCGUGAUGGACACAGAGGAUUUAUCUGAAUUUUAAUAUUUUGUCUUGCUAUUUUGAAGUUAUAUGUCGUUACAUACCUAGAUUUCUCUUGAUGCCAAUAUUCGUCCACAUUUAAGUUACGUUUUGUUAAAAAACGAGAGAGUGGAGUUUGAAGAACAAUCCCCACACAGAUAUAGCUUAAAACAUGAAGCUACAAACAAGUUGGUACUUCUGCUUUUUGUGUCAUAUUUGCAACAACUAUGUGGAGGCAGUUCUUAAUUAUUUGGGUGCUUCAAAUAAUAUGACCUUCCCAAAUCUGUAUGAUUUUUUUUUCUCAUUAGGCCUGCAGGUAGAGGAAACCUCCACCCAAAGGAGCUAAGUUUAGGGGUUGUCCCAUUGUUUAAUGAUUUUAGGUUUCUUUUAGAAAUGAUGUGACACCGGAGUUAGGAUUGGUACAUGAUUGAACGGAGAUCACAUUUGAAUAAGAGGGAUUUAUUAGGAGUGUUGUUAAGGAAGAUGGACAUAAUAAUGAGACGAGCCUGUGGGAUAGGAAAAUUUUUGGUUAAAAAAGAUGGAGUAUGAAGAAAGGUCUCUUGUUAUGGUAUUUGGAGGAGACAUCCGAUUUGUGGUGUCUACAAGAAACCCUAUUUUUAUCUCCACAGCAAAUCGAGAAAAUCAAAACAGAGCAAUGGAUGGAAGCAGAAGGAAAAAUAGAAGGAAAAGUUACAAAAGAAGCGUUGUGUAAUGAUCAACACCACAACAAAUAUAAGUUUCAUUGCAUUCAGGAAUCAAUUCAAAGCCAUUACUCUGAUAUAUUUUCUCUCGAUUGAAACCACGGGUUCAUUUAUCAAUCUCAAACCAUGGAAGCACAGUUUUAGGACAGAUGUAGUUACCACGACUUACCAAGAUAAACUAUGACAACUGGAGUAUUCAAAUGUGUGUCUUGCUCGAUGCUCAAGACACAUGGGAAGUAGUUGAAGAAGGUCUUGAAGAGGAGGUUCCAAUUGCAAAUCCGAUAGCAAACCAAUUGAGGGCAAUAAAAGAAAUGCGCAUGAAAGACAAAAUCGCUCUCUAUCUCAUGUUCCAAGUUGUGGAUGAGUCAGGUUUCGAGAAAAUUGCAGGUGAAAAGACAUCGAAAGAAGCGUGGGAUACACUGUAGAAGGUUUUCAAGGAUGUUGAUCAAGUCAAACAACUGCGGCUCCAAACCCUUCAAGGCGAAUUGGAAACCAUGAAAAUGGAGUCAGAAGGUGUAUCUGACUACAUCACCCGAGUUCAAACGGUGGUGAACCAACUUAAACACAAUGGAGAAACUCUUGAGGAUGCAAGGUUCCCUUGAGGAAACUAGAAAGUUGAGGUUGUAUUGUUUUUUUUCUUUAUCUUUAUGUAAAUUUUACAACAUGUCGACCCCACAAAAAAUAUGGUUAUUUUUAUGAAAUGUUAUAUUGAUUGAAGCAUCCCAUU